GCACUGCUGAAAAGUCUCACAAUAGGACGAAACGGCCGUCCAGUGC
rfam:Schistosoma haematobium scaffold1008_10, whole genome shotgun sequence.